CGCUGGCGGCAUGCUUUACACAUGCAAGUCGAACGGCAGCGCGGGGCAACCUGGCGGCGAGUGGCGAACGGGUGAGUAAUAUAUCGGAACGUACCCAAGAGUGGGGGAUAACGUAGCGAAAGUUACGCUAAUACCGCAUACGAUCUAAGGAUGAAAGUGGGGGAUCGCAAGACCUCAUGCUCCUGGAGCGGCCGAUAUCUGAUUAGCUAGUUGGUGGGGUAAAGGCCCACCAAGGCAACGAUCAGUAGCUGGUCUGAGAGGACGACCAGCCACACUGGAACUGAGACACGGUCCAGACUCCUACGGGAGGCAGCAGUGGGGAAUUUUGGACAAUGGGGGCAACCCUGAUCCAGCAAUGCCGCGUGAGUGAAGAAGGCCUUCGGGUUGUAAAGCUCUUUUGUCAGGGAAGAAAAGGUCGCAGCCAAUAUCUGUGGCUCAUGACGGUACCUGAAGAAUAAGCACCGGCU
rnacentral:rRNA from 1 species